rnacentral:rRNA from 1 species
GAUGAGCUUUGGCGGCGUGCUUAACACAUGCAAGUCGAACGAUUAAGGCGGCUUCGGCCGCGUAUAGAGUGGCGAACGGGUGAGUAACACGUGACCAACCUGCCCCGCGCUCCGGGACAACCGCUGGAAACGGCGGCUAAUACCGGAUGCUCCGGGGAGGCCCCAUGGCCUCCCCGGGGAAAGCCCCGACGGCGCGGGAUGGGGUCGCGGCCCAUUAGGUAGACGGCGGGGUAACGGCCCACCGUGUCCGCGAUGGGUAGCCGGACUGAGAGGUCGACCGGCCACAUUGGGACUGAGAUACGGCCCAGACUCCUACGGGAGGCAGCAGUGGGGAAUUUUGCGCAAUGGGGGAAACCCUGACGCAGCAACGCCGCGUGCGGGACGAAGGCCUUCGUGUUGUAAACCGCUUUCAGCAGGGAAGACUUUGACGGUACCUGCAGAAGAAGCUCCGGCUAACUACGUGCCAGCAGCCGCGGUAAUACGUAGGGGGCGAGCGUUAUCCGGAUUCAUUGGGCGUAAAGCGCGCGUAGGCGGCCGCCUAAGCGGAACCUCUAAUCCCGGGGCUCAACCUCGGGCCGGGUUCCGGACUGGGCGGCUCGAGUGCGGUAGAGGCAGGCGGAAUUCCCGGUGUAGCGGUGGAAUGCGCAGAUAUCGGGAAGAACACCGAUGGCGAAGGCAGCCUGCUGGGCCGCCACUGACGCUGAGGCGCGAAAGCUGGGGGAGCGAACAGGAUUAGAUACCCUGGUAGUCCCAGCCGUAA